UUAAUUAAUAUUUCGAAUUCUUAUUGCUUAAAUUAGCUUAAUAAUUACUUAAUAAAUACUUAAUAUUCAGUACCCAUAGGAUAUACUGGAAUUUACCAUCCCGAGUUUUAGUUCAAAUAUCUACCAAUAAAUAUAAUAUGUAAUAUAUUGGCAAUGAAUUAAAUUCCAAAGAUAAGUGCAUGCAAUUUAUAUCAGACCAAUGAAACAGUUUCCAGUCCAUUAUUUUUUUUUUUUUUAGAUACUAAUGAUGUACAUACAAUCGUCGGCGUCUAAAGCAUGUGGUUGUGAAUGUAAAUGUAAAUGCGGUUGCGGUUGUGGAGGCUGCGGUGGUUGCGGUGGAUGUUGAAAAAAUAAUAAUUAGCUACUAAUCUGAGUUAUUAAUGGUUAAUGUCAAAUUAUCAAUGUCAGCGUCAUGUGAUGAUAACUGCUCUGAAAAAUUUUAAUUACUAAGUAUAUCAAACAUUUAAAUUACAAUAAAUCUAUAAUGAAUUAGUAUCAGUAAUACCAAUUUUAGUUUGUGGAAAUUAAUGUUACAGCUAUAUUGUAAAUUCAUAUUAUAGUAUAGUUAAUUUUUAAAUAUGUUGCAAAUCAUCAUUAAUAUAUGGUGGGUUUCACCAAUGAUUUUAUUAA